rnacentral:rRNA from 1 species
UACAGAGGUCUCAAGCGUUGUUCGGAUUCAUUGGGCGUAAAGGGUGCGUAGGUGGCGCGGUAAGUCGGGUGUGAAAUCUCGGAGCUUAACUCCGAAAUUGCAUUCGAUACUGCCGUGCUUGAGGACUGGAGAGGAGACUGGAAUUCAUGGUGUAGCAGUGAAAUGCGUAGAGAUGUGGAGGAACACCAGUGGCGAAGGCGGCUCUCUGGACUGUAACUGACGCUGAGGCGCGAAAGCGUGGGGAGCAAACAGG